rnacentral:rRNA from 1 species
GUAUGGAAUCUUCCACAAUGGACGAAAGUCUGAUGGAGCAACGCCGCGUGAGUGAAGAAGGUCUUCGGAUCGUAAAACUCUGUUGUUAGAGAAGAACGUGCAUGAUAGUAACUGAUCAUGUAAUGACGGUAUCUAACCAGAAAGCCACGGCUAACUACGUGCCAGCAGCCGCGGUAAUACGUAGGUGGCAAGCGUUGUCCGGAUUUAUUGGGCGUAAAGGGAACGCAGGCGGUUUUUUAAGUCUGAUGUGAAAGCCUUCGGCUUAACCGAAGAAUAGCAUUGGAAACUGGAAGACUUGAGUGCAGAAGAGGAGGGUGGAAUUCCAUGUGUAGCGGUGAAAUGCGUAGAUAUAUGGAGGAACACCAGUGGCGAAAGCGGCUCUCUGGUCUGUAACUGACGCUGAGGUUCGAAAGCGUGGGUAGCAAACAGGAUUAGAAACCCCUGUAGUCC